rnacentral:tRNA from 1 species
AUUUAAAUAGUUUAAUAAAAACAUUGAUUUGUGGAAUCAAAAAUAUAAAAACUUAUUUUAAAUA